CCUACGGGAGGCAGCAGUGGGGAAUAUUGGACAAUGGGCGCAAGCCUGAUCCAGCAAUGCCGCGUGUGUGAAGAAGGCCUUCGGGUUGUAAAGCACUUUUGUUCGGGAAGAAAUCCGUGUGGUUAAUACCCGUACGGGAUGACGGUACCGAAAGAAUAAGCACCGGCUAACUUCGUGCCAGCAGCCGCGGUAAUACGAAGGGUGCAAGCGUUAAUCGGAAUUACUGGGCGUAAAGCGUGCGUAGGCGGUUUGUUAAGUCAGAUGUGAAAGCCCCGGGCUCAACCUGGGAACUGCAUUUGAUACUGGCAGGCUAGAGUACGGUAGAGGGUGGUGGAAUUCCCGGUGUAGCGGUGAAAUGCGUAGAGAUCGGGAGGAACAUCCGUGGCGAAGGCGGCCACCUGGACCAGUACUGACGCUGAGGCACGAAAGCGUGGGGAGCAAACAGGAUUAGAUACCCUGGUAGUCCACGCCCUAAACGAUGCGAACUGGACGUUGGGCUCACUUUGGAGCUCAGUGUCGAAGCUAACGCGUUAAGUUCGCCGCCUGGGGAGUACGGUCGCAAGACUGAAACUCAAAUGAAUUGACGGA
rnacentral:rRNA from 1 species